GAUGAACGCUGGCGGCGUGCCUAAUACAUGCAAGUCGAGCGAACGGACGAGAAGCUUGCUUCUCUGAUGUUAGCGGCGGACGGGUGAGUAACACGUGGAUAACCUACCUAUAAGACUGGGAUAACUUCGGGAAACCGUAGCUAAUACCGGAUAAUAUUUUGAACCGCAUGGUUCAAAAGUGAAAGACGGUCUUGCUGUCACUUAUAGAUGGAUCCGCGCUGCAUUAGCUAGUUGGUAAGGUAACGGCUUACCAAGGCAACGAUGCAUAGCCGACCUGAGAGGGUGAUCGGCCACACUGGAACUGAGACACGGUCCAGACUCCUACGGGAGGCAGCAGUAGGGAAUCUUCCGCAAUGGGCGAAAGCCUGACGGAGCAACGCCGCGUGAGUGAUGAAGGUCUUCGGAUCGUAAAACUCUGUUAUUAGGGAGGAACAUAUGUGUAAGUAACUGUUCACAUCUUGACGGUACCUAAUCAGAAAGCCACGGCUAACUACGUG
rnacentral:rRNA from 1 species